rnacentral:lncRNA from 1 species
UUAACUUCUUUGGGGCUUUUGUUCUUCGAGUAGCCUCAUUCCAUCCCACUGCAUCUUUAGGGGUAUAGUAAUUGUUGCUUUGAUCCACUCCACUACAACUUCAGGGAGAUAAGAAUCGUAACUUUAACCUACUCUACUGCAACCUUAAGGGGAUAAGGUUUGUGGCUUCAAUAUGCUCCACUACAACUUCAGGGAGAUAAGAUUCGCCAUGGUAGAUUUGAUCCGACCUACUGCAACUUUAGAGGUAUAGGAU